CUUGUAGCUCAGAGCUCAUGUCCAACCAUUAAUGUUUUAGAGCGAAACACCUUCAAAUUUGGCAAAAGUUGAAGACGCUUUAGAAAAAUCUGUGAUGGCUCAUCUGUAGUUCAGUAUUUAAUAGUGACAAAUGGUCAUGUCUGGCCUCAUUCCUAGGCAGUUGAAAAUGAAUUCAAGUAUUUCAUCCCAAAUGAAGAUUGGAGAAGCAUCCUUAGGUAUGUCUACUUCUACCCAUUGGAUAUAAAGGGAGCAAAAGGACACAGACCAACCAGGUCCUCCCGCUGUCCAAGAUAGGCCAAGAGUGGGUGCAGGUGAAACUUCCCCUACAAGCUCUUCAGUCCAGGCUACAAAGAGGGCACCGCUUCUCUUCUGGGAGACAUAGACCCAAAAAGGAUGUUGUUCAAUUGAAGAGGAAUUGGAGAAGAUUUCUGAGAGUGAAGGUGAGGUCAGUAGGACCUUACAACAAGGAGUCCUUACAACAACUCAGUGAACAGGAGGACGACAGUUAAAUUGACCAGAGCUCAUGAGUACUAAUCUGUGCAAUGAAAGGUCAAUAAUAGAGAGCUAUUUAGCCUAUCAUGCAAAUGUACAAGAUGAUCUGAAUGCCAGAAAUCAACCCUAGUCAUA
rnacentral:lncRNA from 1 species